rnacentral:rRNA from 1 species
GGGUGCGAUCAUACCAGCGUUAAUGCACUGGAUCCCAUCAGAACUCCACAGUUAAGUGCGCUUGGGCUAGAGCAGUACUGGGAUGGGUGACUUCCUGGG